rnacentral:rRNA from 1 species
CCACACCACGAAAGCUGUCUGUACCCGAAAUCAUCUUAGCUAACUCGCAAGAGAGGCGGAUGCUGAAGGUAUGGAGAGUGAUUGGGGUG